CAUCUCAAAAGAAAAAUAUCAGGGGCGGAGUGGAUGAGGGGUGCGAGCGCCGAGCGGCGGUUGGGCUCCGGCGUCGUGGAACGCAGCGGGCCGAGCCGUCGUGCUGCGACGUCGGUGGUACUUGGCGUCAGGGCUUCUUCAUUAUAGGGGGCAUCUCCCGUGUGGACGGCGCCUCGUCGGCCGAGUCGCCGGCGACGAAUACUCGGCCGAAGAUGGGCCCACUCCAGGAACCAGGGGCUGGCGGCGUCCUCGGCUGGACGGCGAGCUGGUCGUGGUUGGCCGGCGCGGGAGUCGUGUCUUCUGCUUGAAGAGGGUACGGUGGUGGUUGGCAUUCUGCUUGAUGCGUGCUGCAUCUCCUCCCACAACAACGACAGGCAGUUAGGUGUUUGCUGCCGGAGUUCUUCAGUAUCGCACCCUCUCCGUCAUUUUACACGAUUGUCAGAAGUCUAGGUACAGUCAAGUGAGAGAUAUGGACUCUUGAUUGAAGGAGAACUUUGUGCACUUAUGAUAGCAUAUGGACCGUAAAUCUGUAGCAGGCCCUGAACCAAGGCAUGCAUAUAGCAGGUCCUGAAUGAAUCAUCCUGACCACGUUUUACACAUCAUAUGCUUAAUUGCUUAUGUAAUUCAGUUUUUACAAGACAUUUUUUUGUGGAUCAAUAAGCAUCUGCACUGUUCUUGUUCUUUUAAUCUAAUUAAAGGCCAGA